GGCGAAAGGUAAAUCGUGACGUCACACGUCAGUUUUGACACGGCAAUUUCGCCACAUUAGCCAACACGCACGGAGCAGGAGUCUGUAUUGUCAGUGCGGCAGAUAACUAAAGUCAAGCACACAUCGUCAUUCAAUGAGGAUAUUAACAUCCAGUUUGCACCCCUCGCUAGGAGAAGAGAGGUAUUUUUGCAUUACCAGGCAGCCAGCCCCACAAAGCCACAAAAAGGCGUAUCCUGCAAUGCCAGGGAUGGCGACAACACCAUGCCUUAACGCCCGUGCAGGGCACUGCUCCACCCAGCCACCAGACAGCCAGGACCAAACACCACUUUAUGUGAUGCUCCUCAGGGAACAGUUGAAGGCCCCGUUCGGAGUCCAUUCCAGCUGACUGCGGAUGCUCAACCAGCCGCCUUCCUCCGUACUUUUGAACAUUUUCUGCUUCCCGGGCGUUGGAGGCUCAUUGUGGGAAGACCAGAACACAUCCGCAUCCGGGUAGACGUCGCUGAAUGUGCAUACCGGGCCGUCCUUGGACAGAACACCUUUGACCGCCCCGCAGCACUCUGGGGAGAACAUCAUCAGGUUGGAAUCCACCACACUCAUAAAG